AGUCGAGGGGCAGCGGGUUGAAAGCUUGCUUUCAAUGCCGGCGACCGGCGCACGGGUGCGUAACGCGUAUCAAACCUGCCUCAUACUCGGGGAUAGCCUUGCGAAAGUAAGAUUAAUACCCGAUGUUGUUGCUUUCUCGCAUGGGAGAGUAACCAAAGAUUUAUCGGCAUGAGAUGGUGAUGCGUCCGAUUAGGUAGUAGGCGGGGUAACGGCCCACCUAGCCUUCGAUCGGUAGGGGUUCUGAGAGGAAGGUCCCCCACACUGGAACUGAGACACGGUCCAGACUCCUACGGGAGGCAGCAGUGAGGAAUAUUGGUCAAUGGGCGAGAGCCUGAACCAGCCAAGUAGCGUGCAGGAUGACGGCCCUCCGGGUUGUAAACUGCUUUUAGUUGGGAAUAAAAAAAGGGACUUGUCCCUUCUUGUAUGUACCUUCAGAAAAAGGACCGGCUAAUUCCGUGCCAGCAGCCGCGGUAAUACGGAAGGUCCAGGCGUUAUCCGGAUUUAUUGGGUUUAAAGGGAGCGUAGGCGGAUUGUUAAGUCAGCGGUUAAAGGGUGUGGCUCAACCAUGCAUUGCCGUUGAAACUGGCGAUCUUGAGUGCAGACAGGGAUGCCGGAAUUCGUGGUGUAGCGGUGAAAUGCUUAGAUAUCACGAAGAACUCCGAUCGCGAAGGCAGGUGUCCGGGCUGCAACUGACGCUGAGGCUCGAAAGUGUGGGUAUCAAACAGGAUUAGAUACCCUGGUAGUCCACACAGUAAACGAUGUAUACUCGCGGUUUGCGAUAGACAGUAAGCCGCCAAGCGAAAGCA
rnacentral:rRNA from 1 species